rnacentral:rRNA from 1 species
GACGUAGGGCGCGAGCGUUGUCCGGAUUUAUUGGGCGUAAAGAGCUCGUAGGCGGCUUGUCGCGUCGUUCGUGAAAACCUGCAGCUCAACUGCAGGCUUGCGGUCGAUACGGGCAGGCUGGAGUUCGGUAGGGGAGACUGGAAUUCCUGGUGUAGCGGUGAAAUGCGUAGAGAUCGGGAGGAACAUCAGUUGCGAAGGCGGCUCUCUGGACCAGCACUGACACUGAGGCACGAAAGCGUGGGGAGCAAACAGG